CUACGGGGCGCACCAGUGGGGAAUAUUGCACAAUGGAGGAAACUCUGAUGCAGCAACGCCGCGUGGAGGAUGACACUUUUCGGAGCGUAAACUCCUUUUAUAUAGGAAGAAGAUGACGGUACUAUAUGAAUAAGCGCCGGCUAACUCCGGUGCCAGCAGCCGCGGUAAUACGGAGGGCGCAAGCGUUACUCGGAAUCACUGGGCGUAAAGAGCGUGUAGGCGGAUUAAAAAGUCAGAAGUGAAAUCCUAUAGCUUAACUAUAGAACUGCUUCUGAAACUCUUAAUCUAGAAUAUGGGAGAGGUAGAUGGAAUUUCUGGUGUAGGGGUAAAAUCCGUAGAGAUCAGAAGGAAUACCGAUUGCGAAGGCGAUCCACUAGAACAUUAUUGACGCUGAGACGCGAAAGCGUGGGGAGCAAACAGGAUUAGAUACCCUAGUAGUC
rnacentral:rRNA from 1 species